AGAGUUUGAUCCUGGCUCAGAACGAACGCUGGCGGCGCGCCUAAUACAUGCAAGUCGAGCGAGAAGGUGUAGCAAUACACUUGUAAAGCGGCGAACGGGUGAGGAAUACAUGGGUAACCUACCAUCGAGUGGGGAAUAACCAGCCGAAAGGUUGGCUAAUACCGCGUACGCCUCCGGAUCUACGGAUUCGGAGGGAAAGCCACACUGUGAGUGUGGCGCUCUUUGAUGGGCUCAUGUCCUAUCAGCUUGUUGGUAGGGUAACGGCCUACCAAGGCUUUGACGGGUAGCUGGUCUGAGAGGACGAUCAGCCACACUGGCACUGCGACACGGGCCAGACUCCUACGGGAGGCAGCAGUAAGGAAUAUUGCGCAAUGGGCGAAAGCCUGACGCAGCGACGCCGCGUGGGGGAUGAAGGUCUUCGGAUUGUAAACCCCUUUCGGGAGGGAAGAUGGAACGAGUAAUCGUUCGGACGGUACCUCCAGAAGCAG
rnacentral:rRNA from 1 species